GCAGUCAUGGCCUAAUGGUUAGAGAGUUGGCUUUGUAACCUAAAGGUUGUGGGAUCAAGUCUCAGGUCCAGCA